GACGUAGGGGGCAAGCGUUGUCCGGAAUCAUUGGGCGUAAAGCGCGCGUAGGCGGCCCGGUAAGUCCGCUCUGAAAGUCCAGGGCUCAACCCUGGAAAGCGGGUGGAUACUGCCGGGCUAGAAUCCGGAAGAGGCGAGUGGAAUUCCUGGUGUAGCGGUGGAAUGCGCAGAUAUCAGGAAGAACACCCGUGGCGAAGGCGGCUCUCUGGGACGGUACUGACGCUGAGACGCGAAAGCGUGGGGAGCGAACAGG
rnacentral:rRNA from 1 species